AUUGAACGCUGGCGGCAUGCCUAACACAUGCAAGUCGAACGCGAAAGUCCUUCGGGGCGAGUAGAGUGGCGGACGGGUGAGUAACGCGUGGGAAUCUGCCCUGCAGUGGGGGACAACCCGGGGAAACCCGGGCUAAUACCGCAUACGUCCUACGGGAGAAAGGGGGCUUCGGCUCUCGCUGCAGGAUGAGCCCACGUCCGAUUAGCUAGUUGGUAGGGUAAAGGCCUACCAAGGCAACGAUCGGUAGCUGGUCUGAGAGGAUGAUCAGCCACACUGGGACUGAGACACGGCCCAGACUCCUACGGGAGGCAGCAGUGGGGAAUAUUGGACAAUGGGCGCAAGCCUGAUCCAGCAAUGCCGCGUGUGUGAAGAAGGCCUGCGGGUUGUAAAGCAC
rnacentral:rRNA from 1 species